CCUACGGGUGGCUGCAGUAGGGAAUAUUCCACAAUGGACGAAAGUCUGAUCCAGCAACGCCGCGUGAGUGAAGAAGGGUUUCGGCAUGUAAAGCUCUGUUGGCAGUGAAGAAAGAUAGAGCGAUUCACUGGCCUGUAGUCGACGGUAAUUACUUGCAAAGACACGCCUAAAUACGUGCGAGCAGCGGCGGUAAUGCGUAUGCGGCAAGCGUGGUCCGGAUUUAUUGGGGGGAAAGUGAGGGCAGGCGGUUCAACAAGUCUGGGGUGAAAGCCGUCGGCUCAACCGGGGCAUUGCAUCUGAAACUGUUGAGCUUGAGUGCAGGAGAGGGAAGUGGAAGUCGUGGUGUAGCGGUGAAAUGCGUAGAUAUAUGGAAGAACACCAGUGGCGAAGGCGGCUCUCUGGACUGCAACUGACGCUGAGGCUCGAAAGCGUGGGUAGCGAACAGGAUUAGAUACCCCUGUAGUC
rnacentral:rRNA from 1 species